UACGUAGGGUGCGAGCGUUAAUCGGAAUUACUGGGCGUAAAGCGUGCGAAGGCGGCGCGUUAAGACAGGUGUGAAAGCCCCGAGCUUAACUUGGGAAUUGCGCUUGUGACUGGCGAGCUGGAGUGUGGCAGAGGGAGGUGGAAUUCCACGUGUAGCAGUGAAAUGCGUAGAGAUGUGGAGGAACACCGAUGGCGAAGGCAGCCUCCUGGGCCAGCACUGACGCUCAUGCACGAAAGCGUGGGGAGCAAACAGG
rnacentral:rRNA from 1 species